AGAACUUGGGAAAUGUAGUUUGUUAUACAAUCAGAGUGGGAGAAGAAUGGUGUGUGAGCAGAAAGCAAAUUCCUGGCACUCACACGAUUGCUAAAGAAAUAGAGAAAUAUUCCAUUGAAGGAACAAAGAAUUUUUGGAAGAAAGAAAUACUAUGAAGAUUGAGAAGCAGAUGGCACAUGUGUGUAAAGACUAGGUACGUGAGUCAACAAGAAAGGAGACUAAACAGAUGCAGGAUAAGAAGAUAAGAGAGGAAGAAAUUUCAGAAGAAAAAUGAGGGAAAGUUGGUGUCUCCGCUGGAGUUAUGUGCGAGAAAAAUUGUGCAGCAUUUGCCUUUCGCCCAAAGGACUCAAAAGAUUCUUGAAAACAAAAGAUUCCUCUGUGAAUCAUUCAUAAGCAUAAAAUCGGAAAUUUCCUUCCUCCAGUAAUGCCUCUAUCCAACCUCUCCAUCCCAGAGACAAGCCUAUUAGCCAGAUCAGAAAGAAGAGAGAUGGAAGAACAGAGAGAAUAAAUAAUUAACUAAAGACAACAGAUCUGGUAAGUGGAGGAGUCCAAUUAACCCUGAAAGGGUGCCUCUCCAGCUCCCCCUUCUAAUGAUUUAAUGUUUGCUGCCCCAAACUUACCUGCUCUUAUGAAGAGGAGCAGAUGCAGAGGCUACUCUGGCAGAAUAUUGUAGGUUUGCAUACCAAGCUCCGGCCUUGUGUCGUGGUGGUUGUACUUUGUUUUUCCUCUACCAAGAGCUCUGCUUCCUGGAUCUUCCCCAGGGAUUGCUGUUGUCUUGUAGUUCCAGGUUGAUGGGGCUGCUCUCGGAGGGCUUGAUCUGAGGAUGUUGCCCAGACAGUU